CCACCGAGGUGUCCCUAACCAGUGUCCUGCCGCCUGUCCACAAACAUGGGGAACAUCUUCGCCAACCUCUUCAAGGGCCUUUUUGGCAAAAAAAGAAAUGCGCAUCCUCAUGGUGGGCCUGCAUGCCACAGAGAAGACAACGAUCCUCUACAAGCUGAAGCUGGGUGAGAUCGUGACCACCACCCCCACCACAGGCUUCAAUGUAGAGACCGUGGAGUACAAGGACAUCAGCUUCUCUGUGUGGGACGUGGCUGGCCAGGACAAGAUCCGGCCUCUGUGGCAUCACUACUUCCAGAACACACAAGCUCUGAUCUUUGUGGUGGACAGCAAUGAUGGACAACAUGUGAACGAGGCCCGCGAGGAGCUCAUGCGCAUGCUGGCUGAGGAUGAGCUGGGGGACGCCAUCCUCCUGGUCUUGACCAACAAGCAGGACCUCCCCAAUGCCAUGGUGGUGUGA